UGAGGCCGCUUUGGAGCACCCAGCAUUGUGCUGCUCCCGCAGGUGUUCAACCAGGGAUGGCUGUGGCUCCGGCUGCAAACGGGUCCCUGCCCUUGUCAUAAAUGCCUGAGCUCACGUUAUCUCAGAAGAGAGAAAAUACACAGGAAACACGGAUGAAUGAUCGUUUCGUCAUUUCAGAGAUGUGAUUUGAGCAAGGACAAUUUCAAUACAUGAAGCCAUCUGUUUUAUUUGUUUACAUAUUUAUUGUCUCUCCUCCCUAGGACGUACGAUCUCUGAGGGCAGACCAGCGGGCUUUCCUGCACCGUCCCCGGGCCAGGGCUCCCGUGAGCGGGCCCAGACGACGGGCUGUCCGUGAGGGCUCUCAGGAGAGUGGAGACCUCACCGCCUCCUCCAAGUCGAGCACUGAGAUGGAAUUUUCCGGAGCGCAAACGUGCGGCUUCACAGCUUUCUCUGAACAGUGCGGUCGGGCAAAUCCUGCUCCACCUGAGGGAGCCUCUUACACGGAUCCGAGAUUGACACAGUCCUUUGAUACAAACGGCAUGUAUGAUCUCAGUCCGGGUGGCACCAACCACCCUGUGGUGCCGGAAGGCGCUUUCAAGACUGCGAAUCAUGGAUGGAUGGAUACAUCUUUCAGGAACAAAAGGCUUCUUUCCAAUGGACAUAAAAAUAAAGGGAAUUGACAGGUAUAGACCAGAA